rnacentral:lncRNA from 1 species
CACAUGUGGAUUUUCAAAUUUCUUUUUUUGUUUGUUUUCGUUUUUGUUUUUUGAGACGGAGUCUUGCUCUGUUGCCUAGGCUGGAGUGCAGUGGCAUGACCUCGGCUAACUGCAAGCUCCGCCUCCUGGGAUCAAGCGAUUAUCCUGCCUCAGCCGCCUGAGUAGCUGGGAUUACAGGUGCCCGUAACUGCACCCGGCUAAUUUUUGUGUUUUUAGUAGAGAUGGGGUUUCGCCAUGUUGGCCAGGCUGGUCUCAAACUCCUGACCUUAGGUGAUCCACCCUCCUCUGCCUCCCAAAGUGCUAGGAUUACCGGCAUGAGCCAUCGUGCCUGGCCUCAAAUUUCAGUUCAUUAAGUGCAAAGAAAACUUGAGCUCAGUUUCUCAGCCUCAAUAUUUCACAUGCUGAACAGUCACAAGUGUCUAGUAGCUAUGGAAGUGGACAGCAAAGAGUAUGGAAGGUUCCCGUCACUGCAGAACAUUCCCAUGGACAACACUGCCCUGGAAGGUAUCACACGUCCUGCAGCUGACGAUUGUUAGCCCAGGAGUUCUGCUAGCUCAGUCUGAAUGGAAAGGAGCCCUGUCUUUUUCUGACUCUGUCACCUGUUGCGGAUUGGGGUUUGAAAAGGGAGAGAACAUGCUAAGACAUCCAGCGCACACCUGACAUCAGGCUCCUCUGCGCACCAACAUGCUGAGCCAAGUGGAAGCUACAAGCAGAUCUUUUAAAGCAGAAAUGAGCCAUUGAAAGAGCUUCAGUGUUGGUAAGCAUAA